rnacentral:rRNA from 1 species
CCUACGGGCGGCAGCAGUGAGGAAUAUUGGUCAAUGGCCGAGAGGCUGAACCAGCCAAGUCGCGUGAGGGAAGACGGCCCUACGGGUUGUAAACCUCUUUUGUCGGGGAGCAAAGCGAACCACGUGUGGUUCAUUGAGAGUACCCGAAGAAAAAGCAUCGGCUAACUCCGUGCCAGCAGCCGCGGUAAUACGGAGGAUGCGAGCGUUAUCCGGAUUUAUUGGGUUUAAGGGGUGCGCAGGCGGUCUGUUCAGUCAGCGGUAAAAGCGCGGGGGUCAACCCCGGCCCGCCGUUGAAACUGGCAGUCUCGAGUUGGAGAGAAGUAUGCGGAAGGCGCGGUGUAGCGGUGAAAUGCAUAGAUAUCGCGCAGAACUCCGAUUGCGAAGGCAGCAUGCCGGCUCCACACUGACGCUGAGGCACGAAAGCGUGGGUAUCGAACAGGAUUAGAUACCCGGGUAGUC